AUAUAUAUCUGGCGCCGGGUUCAGGGUGAUCAAAAAUGCUCUGACCCCAGAUGGAGGCUCACCAUUGCACCUCGGUGGGUUAAAACUCACAACGGACCCUAAUCGGGUGCGCUCAGUAAUAUAGUUUUUGUCAGUGANNN
rnacentral:snRNA from 15 species